rnacentral:rRNA from 1 species
UUCUUAAAGAAAUAAUUUUAAGUAAAUCCUGCUCAAUGUAAUUAAUAAAUAGCCGCAGAAUUUCUGUGCUAAGGUAGCAUAAUCAUUAGUUUUCUAAUUAAAAACUAGAAUGAAAGGAACAACAAUUCAAUAACUUUUUUCAAAAUAAAAAUAUAAAUUUUAUUAGAUAUAAAAAUAUAUUUAUAAAUCAGAAAGACGACAAGACCCUUUCGAACUUAACUAAAGUUAAGCUGGGGAAGCUAUUUAAAUACAAUUUUAAUUAAAAUAUUUAUAAAAAAGACCCAUUUCUAAUGAUUAGCUGAACAAGUUACCGUAGGGAUAACAGCGUAAUAUUUUUUAAAAGUUCUUAUUUAAAAAAAAGAUUGCGACCUCGAUGUUGAAUUAUUUUACUUUAAAAAGCAAAAUUUUUAAAAGUAGGUCUGUUCGACCUUUAAAUUUUUACAU